rnacentral:rRNA from 1 species
UACGAACCGAGCGAACGUUGUUCGGAAUCACUGGGCUUAAAGGGCGCGUAGGCGGGCUGUCAAGUCUGGGGUGAAAUCCCGCGGCUCAACCGUGGAACUGCCUCAGAUACUGACGGCCUCGAGGGAGGUAGGGGCGAGCGGAACUGUGAGUGGAGCGGUGAAAUGCGUUGAUAUUCACAGGAACUCCGGUGGCGAAGGCGGCUCGCUGGACCUCUUCUGACGCUGAGGCGCGAAAGCUAGGGGAGCAAACGGG